rnacentral:rRNA from 1 species
CCUACGGGUGGCAGCAGUGAGGAAUAUUGGUCAAUGGACGAGAGUCUGAACCAGCCAAGUAGCGUGAAGGAUGACUGCCCUAUGGGUUGUAAACUUCUUUUAUAAAGGAAUAAAACGAGGCACGUGUGCCUUUUUGCAUGUACUUUAUGAAUAAGGAUCGGCUAACUCCGUGCCAGCAGCCGCGGUAAUACGGAGGAUCCGAGCGUUAUCCGGAUUUAUUGGGUUUAAAGGGAGCGUAGAUGGGUUGUUAAGUCAGUUGUGAAAGUUUGCGGCUCAACCGUAAAAUUGCAAUUGAUACUGGCAGUCUUGAGUACAGUUGAGGUAGGCGGAAGGCGUGGUGUAGCGGUGAAAUGCAUAGAUAUCACGCAGAACCCCGAUUGCGAAGGCAGCAUACCGGCGCCCUACUGACGCUGAGGCACGAAAGUGCGGGUAUCGAACAGGAUUAGAUACCCGGGUAGUC